UAGGGAAUCUUCGGCAAUGGACGAAAGUCUGACCGAGCAACGCCGCGCGAGUGAAGAAGGUUUUCGGAUCGUAAAACUCUGUUGUUUGAGAAGAACAAGGACGUUAGUAACUGAACGUCCCCUGACGGUAUCUAACCAGAAAGCCACGCCUAACUACGUGCCAGCAGCCGCGGUAAUACGUAGGUGGCAAGCGUUGUCCGGAUUUAUUGGGCGUAAAGCGAGCGCAGGCGGUUUCUUAAGUCUGAUGUGAAAGCCCCCGGCUCAACCGGGGAGGGUGAUUGGAAACUGGGAGACUUGAGUGCAGAAGAGGAGAGUGGAAUUCCAUGUGUAGCGGAGAAAUGAGUAGAUAUAUGGAGGAACACCAGUGGCGAAGGCGGCUCUCUGGUCUGUAACUGACGCUGAGGCUAGAAAGCGUGGGGAGCAAACAGG
rnacentral:rRNA from 1 species